GACGAACGCUGGCGGCGUGCCUAGUACAUGCAAGUAGGACGCACAGCCUAUACCGUAGCUUGCUACACCAUAGGCUGUGAGUUGCGAACGGGUGAGUAACGCGUAGGUAACCUGCCUAUUAGAGGGGGAUAACUAUUGGAAACGAUAGCUAAUACCGCAUAACAGUAUGUAACACAUGUUAGAUGCUUGAAAGAUGCAAUUGCAUCGCUAGUAGAUGGACCUGCGUUGUAUUAGCUAGUAGGUAGGGUAAUGGCCUACCUAGGCAACGAUACAUAGCCGACCUGAGAGGGUGAUCGGCCACACUGGGACUGAGACACGGCCCAGACUCCUACGGGAGGCAGCAGUAGGGAAUCUUCGGCAAUGGGGGGAACCCUGACCGAGCAACGCCGCGUGAGUGAAGGAGGUUUUCGGAUCGUAAAGCUCUGUUGUUAAGGAAGAACGAGUGUGAGAAUGGAAAGUUCAUAC
rnacentral:rRNA from 1 species